rnacentral:rRNA from 1 species
GACGAACGCUGGCGGCGUGCUUAACACAUGCAAGUCGAACGUGAUUUUUGUGGAAAUUCUUUCGGGAAUGGAAAUGAAAUGAAAGUGGCGAACGGGUGAGUAACACGUGAGCAACCUACCUUACACAGGGGGAUAGCCGUUGGAAACGACGAUUAAUACCGCAUGAGACCACAGAAUCGCAUGAUAUAGGGGUCAAAGAUUUAUCGGUGUAAGAAGGGCUCGCGUCUGAUUAGCUAGUUGGAAGGGUAAAGGCCUACCAAGGCGACGAUCAGUAGCCGGUCUGAGAGGAUGAACGGCCACAUUGGAACUGAGACACGGUCCAAACUCCUACGGGAGGCAGCAGUGGGGAAUAUUGCACAAUGGGGGGAACCCUGAUGCAGCGACGCCGCGUGAGUGAAGAAGGUUUUCGAAUCGUAAAGCUCUGUCCUAUGAGAAGAUAAUGACGGUAUCAUAGGAGGAAGCCCCGGCUAAAUACGUGCCAGCAGCCGCGGUAAUACGUAUGGGGCGAGCGUUGUCCGGAAUUAUUGGGCGUAAAGGGUACGUAGGCGGUUUUUUAAGUCAGGUGUGAAAGCGUGAGGCUUAACCUCAUUAAGCACUUGAAACUGGAAGACUUGAGUGAAGGAGAGGAAAGUGGAAUUCCUAGUGUAGCGGUGAAAUGCGUAGAUAUUAGGAGGAAUACCGGUGGCGAAGGCGACUUUCUGGACUUUUACUGACGCUCAGGUACGAAAGCGUGGGGAGCAAACAGG